rnacentral:rRNA from 1 species
GAUGAACGCUGGCGGCGUGCCUAAUACAUGCAAGUCGAGCGAACGGACGAGCAGCUUGCCUCUCUGAUGUUAGCGGCGGACGGGUGAGUAACACGUGGCUCACCUAUCUAUAAGACUGGGAUAACUUCGGGACACCGUAGCUAAUACCGGAUAAUCUUUUGAACCGCAUGGUUCAAACGUGAAAGACGGUCUUGCUGUCACUUAUAGAUGGAUCCGCGCUUCAUUAGCUAGUUGGUAAGGUAACGGUUUACCAAGGCAACGAUGCAUAGCCGACCUGAGAGGGUGAUCGGCCACACUGAAACUGGGACACGGUCCAGACUCCGACGGGAGGCGGAGGUAGGGAAGCUUCCGCAAUGGGCGAAAGCCUGACGGAGCAACGCCGCGUGAGUGAUGAAGGUCUUCGGAUCGUAAAACUCUGUUAUUAGGGAAGAACAUAUGUGUAAGUAACUGUGCACAUCGUGACGGUACCUAAUCAGAAAGCCACGGCUAACUACGUG